UGUGCUUGUGAGAUUUAGGUGUCGAUCAGACCUAUCUAUGUGAGACCUAUGUGUGUAUCAGACCUAUCUAUGUGAGACCUAUGUGUGUAUCAGACCUAUCUAUAUGUAUGUGAGACCUAUGUAUGUGUGUUUCGGACCUAUCUAUAUGUAUGUGAGACCAAGUUCUGUUCAAGCCUUUUUAUUUGUUCAUCUGAUGCACAAAUGGCACCAAAAUGCUGCCAAAUUUUGACCAAAAAA
rnacentral:lncRNA from 1 species